ACUCAAAUGAAUAGACGGGGGCCCGCACAAGCGGUGGAGCAUGUGGUUUAAUUCGACGCAACGCGAAGAACCUUACCCAGACUUGACAUGCAGGGGACAGGUGUGGAAACACACCCUUCCUUCGGGACCCUUGCACAGGUGCUGCAUGGCUGUCGUCAGCUCGUGUCGUGAGAUGUUGGGUUAAGUCCCGCAACGAGCGCAACCCUUGUCCUUAGUUGCUACCAUUCAGUUGAGCACUCUAGGGAGACUGCCGGUGGUAAACCGGAGGAAGGUGGGGAUGACGUCAAGUCCUCAUGGCCCUUACGUCUGGGGCUACACACGUGCUACAAUGGCCGGUACAAAGGGUUGCAAGACCGCGAGGUGGAGCUAAUCCCAUAAAACCGGUCUCAGUUCGGAUCGGAGUCUGCAACUCGACUCCGUGAAGUCGGAAUCGCUAGUAAUCGCUGAUCAGCAGGCAGCGGUGAAUACGUUCCCGGGCCUUGUACACACCGCCCGU
rnacentral:rRNA from 1 species